rnacentral:rRNA from 1 species
AACGAACGCUGGCGGCAUGCCUAACACAUGCAAGUCGAACGAGACCUUCGGGUCUAGUGGCGCACGGGUGCGUAACGCGUGGGAACCUGCCCUUAGGUUCGGAAUACCUCCCCGAAAGGGGUGCUAAUACCGGAUAAUGUCUUCGGCCCAAAGAUUUAUCGCCUUUGGAUGGGCCCGCGUUGGAUUAGCUAGUUGGUAGGGUAAAAGCCUACCAAGGCGACGAUCCAUAGCUGGUCUGAGAGGAUGAUCAGCCACACUGGGACUGAGACACGGCCCAGACUCCUACGGGAGGCAGCAGUGGGUAAUAUAGGACAAUGGGCGAAAGCCUGAUCCAGCAAUGCCGCGUGAGUGAUGAAGGCCUUAGGGUUGUAAAGCUCUUUUACCCGGGAUGAUAAUGACAGUACCGGGAGAAUAAGCUCCGGCUAACUCCGUG